CAGGUCAGCUUGCCGCCCCGUUGCAGUCAUCUAUGGUUACACCUCUCUUUGGGCCUUAGUUUUCCCAUUUGUACAAUGGGGAGGUGGGACUUAGUAAUCUAAAAGCCAGCCUGAUUCUAACCUCUCUUCCAAGCCUAUCUCAUCCUGCUCCCAACUCACCUUCUGGAUGUGCCUGCCCUGCUGGGCCCCCUGAAUGUCAGAUAAGUGCCACCCUGGUUGCAGGGUGGAAUUGGGCCUCUGGACCUCCUGGCAGACCAGGAUCUCUAUGACCACUAGGACCUUAGGUCUACUCUGGCCAUGAAGGGCCCCAGGACCACCCUAGAUGCCCAGGAGUUUCUGGGCUGCCAGGAACCCUGUGGACACUGGGCCUUUCAGGGUUGCCCAGCCCAGACAAGCUCCUGGGAAUCCAUGGAGCUCAAGAACCAGUGAAGCCUCUGGGCCAGGGUCUCCUCAAGGACAACCAGGCCAGCCAGGUCUACAGGUGAAUAAUUUGCUCCUAGCACCACUCCACCCUUUCCAACCUGCCUAGUGUCUCAGAUCGUCAGUGAAGGGGACCCUGUAGACAUAAACUGGCCCUGAUUGCCUUGGAGAUAGCAGCAGGGGGGGACAACUGCCGGAUAACGUCGGAGGGAAGACGCUCCAGAGACGUACUUUUUUAUUCCUCUUCCGAGGUAGAGGAUUCCAAUGCAGAAGUUCCUCGGUGAUGACCUUCCAUGUUCCACAGUGACCAAAUAAAACAUACUGAGGGCGAUCAUUCAAGUAGCCUGAGGACUAUCAAGAUACUCAGUCCAGUUCUGCCUCCCUUUCCUGGUGUGAAAAGCUGAGAGAACAGAGAGGCCCAGCCCUGGCCUCUGCUGUCAGAUGGGAGGGCUACUUUACCACUUCCAUUCUGUGGGCUGCAGAGGAAGGAUGUAGGGAGCUGGAGAGUUUAGGGGUGAGGAAGCAGCAAGGGGCUCAUUAUGUUUGCCCAGGUCUUGCUGAUCAAGUCUCCAGCAGGCAUAAAACUAAGGCCAAGCUCCAGUUCCAGCAGCUGCCAUCGGCAGGCACUGGUGCCAGAGAGGGGCAAUUGGGGAUGUCUUAGGGAGCUGGCAGAGCCCCAGCCAUACCACUAGGCCACGAGAUGGGGGAAGGGAUGUCACAUAAAGAGUGAAAAGGAUCCGUGGCCCUCCUCUGCCUCCCCAUACACCAGGGUUCAGCCCCGAUGGGCUUGAGCUCCUCUGCAGCCCUGGUUGGGCUCUGUGGGGGGGAAAGGAAGACAAAGCUGCAGGCAUACCCUGAUUUAAACCAACUCAAUAAAUGAAAAGUCAUAUUUGGAAUUACAGUGUCAGAACUUGAAAAGCCCU
rnacentral:lncRNA from 10 species